rnacentral:lncRNA from 1 species
UAUUCACAAUGAAUACGUUUUCGCAAUCGGAAGAGCUAAUAUUGGACAUCACAACACUAUUCUACUGUCACGCCCCGACACCCGCCUAUUUGGUCGGAUUCGGGCACGCCGACAGACCGCCGAACGGACAAAGUUUUUCCUGUACGUCCUAGGCGUUACAAUCAAUACAGUUUGCGAGAUUCCAACCAGGAACAACAUACAAACAGAGAUUGCAUAAGGAAAGUAUCAACAACAUAAAACAACUAAGUUAUUACAAGCAUUUACAUCUCAUGCCUUAAACAUAUUACAUUUCCAUUUUCUUUUCUUCCAAAUACAAUCAAGAUUAAUACAACAUUAUUUUCUACAAUCCCUA